rnacentral:rRNA from 1 species
AUUGAACGCUGGCGGCAGGCCUAACACAUGCAAGUCGAACGGUAACAGGAAGCAGCUUGCUGCUUCGCUGACGAGUGGCGGACGGGUGAGUAAUGUCUGGGAAGCUGCCUGAUGGAGGGGGAUAACUACUGGAAACGGUAGCUAAUACCGCAUAAUGUCGCAAGACCAAAGAGGGGGACCUUCUGGCCUCUUGCCAUCGGAUGUGCCCAGAUGGGAGUAGCUUGUUGGUGGGGUAACGGCUCACCAAGGCGACGAUCCCUAGCUGGUCUGAGAGGAUGACCAGCCACACUGGAACUGAGACACGGUCCAGACUCCUACGGGAGGCAGCAGUGGGGAAUAUUGCACAAUGGGCGCAAGCCUGAUGCAGCCAUGCCGCGUGUAUGAAGAAGGCCUUCGGGUUGUAAAGUACUUUCAGCGGGGAGGAAGGGAGUAAAGUUAAUACCUUUGCUCAUUGACGUUACCCGCAGAAGAAGCACCGGCUAACUCCGUG